CUUCGUGGACAUUUUGCCUGACUUUGGCAGCGCGUUUGCGGCUUUCCACUGCUCUAAAAUUCAAUUGGGCUAACAUUAACUAUUGUAGUGUUAGUGUGAUGUGCAGAAUCUCUCCUGUGCUGUCGUCGUCGUCGUCGUCGUCGUCUCGCGGCUGGCAGCCCGAUGAUGUAUUGCAGCAGCGCAGUAAUAAGUAAACCACAAGAACACCGACGCACACACACACACACACACACACAAGGGUACACGCAUGGAGCGUAUUCAAACAAUUACCAAUACACUAACACAGAUUGCCACCCACUUUUUGGCCGGCGGCUAACGGUUCCUGCUAACAUUGAUGAUUGCGGCUCGUUGACGGCGCCCGCCAUUGUUAUUGCUGUUCUUGUUCUUCUUGUUGUUGUUGUUGUUGUUGCUGUUGUCGGUGUCUGGAGACGCUCGAACGUGUGCUCAUCAUAAUCCCGAUAUACUAUAAGGAACAAAAAAAGCGGCCGCCGAUGCAAACACACACACACAUGCGCAUGCACUUCUCACGCAUACAUAAAUAAACAUGUGUCGCCGUGUGUUGUAACGAAAAGUGUAAAAUAAGCAUCAAUCAUCGCUUAUUUGAGUUGUCAUCAAUCACACACACACACACACAGAGAAAGAGAGAGAGAGAGAGAGACCGCGCUACGCUGCGGUGACAACAACAAAAACAACAACAACUACAACUACUGCAAGGGAAGCAACAAGCAGCAGCGGCGUCAUCCUUGAUGGAUACUGGCGAUGCGUUGAUAUCCUCGAUAUCCUCCCCUCUCAACACUUCACCCCCAACUCCUAAUCAGCUUUUGCCAGUUAUUAAAUCAUCAGGUUGCACGAUCAAGCGACCAAAAAAACGCCCAUCCGCUGUCACAUGUCUGUCAACAGUCAACAAAAAAAUAGCGAAGUAACCAAAUAUCCUGGUCGCAGGACGUUAACCAGGAAUUGCGUGCGUCAAGCUAGAAAAUAAAGAUUUAAUCGGCAUUUAUGUAUGUAUGUAUUUUUCAACGCCUUUUCGCAGUGUUUUGAAUGGAUGAAGCAUGUCAAGUAGUGUCCAAUCUCUGAGACUUUGAUAAACAUAUUUUAUUAUGUCAUGCGAAGAAAAAGAAGGAAGAAGAAAAAGGACAUUCGAGAGCACAACGGAGUGGAGGUGACUAAAGAUUAGCAAAGCAAAAGGAUGCGUGACAUCGAAAUCGAGUUUCGAAUUAUUUUAAAUCAGAGCGGAACAUUUGGAGAGUUCAGUUGAUAGUUGAACAAAUAAAUGGCACUAAAGUGAAGCUUCCACUGACGAACUGAUUGCCAGAUUCUGUCUGUCGAUGUCUGACGAAGAGUCGCAAAUUUGUUGCCCGGAAUCCGAGUGGCUUUAAGCAGGAAAGUGGACAAUUGAGUGAAGAGAGAAUGUGUGUGUGUGGACAGAUGUCUGGGGACAGAAAGCGCGAAGUCUGAACUCGGCUCAAUAAUUGCAAACUACUGAAGCAUUUAAUAUUUUGAGUGCAUUUCCGCGUUACGCGUUUGGCAGAGGGAAAAUCAACGAACCAACAACAGCAACAUCGGAAAAUCGAAAGUCUCAGCCUGGAGCCUGGACACAGUUGCUGUCUCUCUUUCUGGCUUGGCGUAAAGUUAAUAAAGCGCCCCCUGCAGGCAACAAACAAUUUGUCCAGAAGUUCAACUCGAGGCAAAGAGGGAAACUCAACGGACUGCGAACUUGAAAUUCUAAUUGGCAUUUUAUGCCGCAGCCAAUGCAAUGGAAGGAGGGGUGAAGAGGAGGAGGAGGAGGAGGAGAAAAGGGAGCAGGACACAGUGUGUUGGCUGUCGAACAGGUGUGAAAUCGUUGACGAAUUCUCACGAAUACGUUUAAUCCGCUUUCUGAUUUUUGUGUUGCAACUCGGUUGAGGAACACUUCCAUGGAGGAGGAGGAGGGAGAGUGGAGGAGCGAACCGUUGAUGAUGCCAGGCAAUGGGCAACGUUUUGCAUUUUGCGGGCGAUAUCAUGUUGGAUUAAAAGCGCGUCGUGCCCUUCGUUGCAAAUUAAUUUCGUGUACAUGUCCUGCAGCCUUUUGCAAGUUUAUGCGCCUGCAUCCAUCCAUCCACAUGUGUCUGCCUCACUCUCCCUCUCCCUCUCCCUCUCUCUCUCUCUCUCUCUCUCGCUCUCUGGGCACAUAUCGAGUUACCCAGCCAGGCUACGAACCUGUCCAUCACUUGACCCCUUUUGUGAUGUCCUGAUGUCCAGGACAACCGCAAAUGUUAAAGCGGCGUGACUUUAUUUGAUUGUGUCUGCGUUGAGUUGAGAGUCGAGAGUUGAGUUGAGAGUGCGCUGGCAUUUUUCGGUUUUUCGGGUUUCGCCUUGUUUUUAGAUCCGCUCGGAAAUUAUACAAAAACAGUAGAUACAUUUUAACAUAACACCGCAUUGUUGUCUAAAUUGAAUUUAAAACCCUUUCCCUUUUGUGGCACCUUUUCUAUUUUUAUUUAGUCAGUGUUUCUUUCGUGUUAAUGAAUGUGAUCAGAGGAAGCCAACAUAAAUACUUCAUUAACUUGCUGAAAGAAGCACACGAAAAGUUAAAGUAAAAAAGGAAAUUAGUUGCAAA